AGUGAACGCUGGCGGUAGGCCUAACACAUGCAAGUCGAACGGCAGCACAGUAAGAGCUUGCUCUUACGGGUGGCGAGUGGCGGACGGGUGAGGAAUACAUCGGAAUCUACUUUUUCGUGGGGGAUAACGUAGGGAAACUUACGCUAAUACCGCAUACGACCUACGGGUGAAAGCAGGGGAUCUUCGGACCUUGCGCGAUUGAAUGAGCCGAUGUCGGAUUAGCUAGUUGGCGGGGUAAAGGCCCACCAAGGCGACGAUCCGUAGCUGGUCUGAGAGGAUGAUCGGCCACACUGGAACUGAGACACGGUCCAGACUACUACGGGAGGCAGCAGUGGGGAAUGUUGGACAAUGGGCGCAAGCCUGAUCCAGCCAUACCGCGUGGGUGAAGAAGGCCUUCGGGUUGUAAAGCCCUUUUGUUGGGAAAGAAAAGCAGCAGGUUAAUACCCCGCUGUUCUGACGGUACCCAAAGAAUAAGCACCGGCUAACUUCGUG
rnacentral:rRNA from 1 species